rnacentral:ncRNA from 1 species
CUAGCAAACCGUUUUUACGAAGUCAGCUAGUUAUACGCUUAUUUACUAUGGGAGUUUACUCUUAUAAAAUGCAAUCACGACACCUAAUGUGUGAAGUGGUGGUGAAAACAAGAAGUAAAUAAGCUAACUUGG